UAAAUAGCUAUAUAAACAUGAAAACCACUUUAUAUACUUAUCAAAAUUCACUACAAAUUCAUCGAAAACCGCUUUGUAUAUACUUAUCGAAAUCCACUAUGCAUAAACAACUAUAUAAACAUGAAAACCACUCUGUAUAAAUAGCUAUAUAAACAUGAAAACCACUUUAUAUACUUAUCAAAAUUCACUACAAAUUCAUCGAAAACCAUUUUGUAUACACUUAUCGAAAUCCACUAUAAAUUUAUUGAAAUCGACUAUGAAAUUAACGAAGU
rnacentral:lncRNA from 1 species